rnacentral:lncRNA from 1 species
UUUUGAAGGUGAGGCUCUAGAGCUUUACGGUCGUAAUAACCGAUUGCGAGUGGUCGUUUUGCUCUCUGUUUUUUGUGGUUGGGGUGUGUUGGUUUGGGGUUGUGGUGGCUUGGCUUGGCUUUCUUUCUUCAACUUUUUGUGUGAUUUCUAACUUCAUUUGGACUCAAAAAAUCUACAAAACAAGUUCUAUUAACAUUUUUUUGAACAAGAAGUUCUAUUAACAUUAUAAAGCAUGUGUUACUGAUUGGUGGAUUAGACAAGUGUAUCAAAUCGUUUACUACGAAACAAAGUGAUAAGUAGAGUAUUGUAUCUGUUAAAGCCCGUUUUUCGUUAGAAUUAUUUUAUUUAUUUUUAUGUGUGUUUGUAUGUGCUUAUUUGUCUUUGUUUUAAAUUGGGACUAGUAGAUUUUGAC